UUCUCUUUCUCUUUCUCAUUAAUAAAAAACCCUAAUUCUUCAUUUCCUUUGAUCAUCGCCCCUUCUCUUUAUCAUCGAGUUUCUUUUGUCUUCCCCCUUCAUCAUCCUCUGCAAACCCUUUCUUCGAUCAUCGCCCCUUUUCUUUAUCAUCGAGUUUCUUUUGUCUUCCCCCUUCAUCAUCCUCUGUAAACCCUAAAGGAAUCUACACCAGUUCUUCGAGGAUUACUGAUUCAAUCCGAUGGAAAUGGAUCUUACGAAUAUCGUUGUUAUUCUACAAGCAACAGAGUCCCAAUCAUGCUGAACGAAAACCCGCUGAAGAUAGCCUCAAUCAGAGUUUAUUGGAACUAGCAACUCCACAAAAACACUGCUGCAAAGCCAAAACUAUAAUGUUUGUUUGGGACAUGUGAUGGUGGGCGACAACUCGAUUUAAAGUGGCAAGAGGGAAGAGGCGAUCUACAGAUGGCUUCUCUUAAUUCGUUUCAGUAAAGAUGGGACCCGGGACUACUGGGAAUGUGUGUUGGGGAGAAGCGUAAGUUGAAGAUUUCUGCAAGUAUGGGUUAUGGGAAUCAGGGUUCACCUCCUACUAUCGCAGGUGGACAAAAUCAUUCGGGCUAAAAUCCGCUAUCGUAAAGCAGUGAUGAUGAUGGGGGCGGUGUAAGUAGCAGGAGUAUCUAUGGCGGUCUUGGUGGUGACGAGUAGGUGGUGGAGAUAAUGGUCAUGGGUGUUGCUGGCCCAUUAUGACCUUUAAGUCGAUGAGUUUUAUAAUAGCUACCCGUUUUGACCCGUUGUCUAAUUUGAAGUCACCCAAAUGAACCCAUAUAUUAUUUAUAUUUGACCCGAAUGGUUUCUUGAAGUGAACCCAGAUGGGAAAGUUCCUUUGGCCAAAUUUGAUGAGAAUUGGAUAUGUGAUUGUGAUGCUAUUGUGGGUCUUAUUGAAGAUAAGUACCCUGACCCUUCACUUGCCACUUCCCCUGAACUUGCAUCUGUUUCAUGUUUUCUCUACCCAGUUGGCAUGCAAAGCGCAUGGCCUCAUUGUGUCCCUUUAUUUGACACUCUAGCUAACAUAUGUUAUGGAUCCACGGUACAUUUUAAUACCUAUAUAAGGUAGCAAAGUGAAGUGGUGACACAUAAGCAUGAGACGAAGUGGCUCUGAAUCAGCUUCAACUUUUUUGGUGGAAUCUAAUUAAGGAGGAGCCGGUUGACAAUCUCUUCGUGUCUUGCCACUUCGCCUUAAGGUGAUUGGGAUCGGGUUGCAAGCUGGUGCUGUCUAACUGGGUUGUAUAUAUUUGAAAGCAAAGAUUUGGUCGAAUAUCAUUGCCAUGCGAGUGGGUCGACGAAAUGAAAAAAAUGGUGUACACUAUAAUGCAGACUGGAAUGUGGAGUAUAUCACGUUGUCGAAACAACUUAGCAUUCAACCAGAAGAAUCCAAAUCUGGGGAGUGUUGUAGAGGAUCUAAAUUGUUGUGAAUUUGAUUAUUUGUUUAUAUUUUUUGUAUCUGGGGUGAGGGAUAAUAUGUUGUCUCAACUUUUAUUCAUAUAAAUUUGAAGUCAUUUGCGUGGCUUUUCUCAAUGAGGGGAGUUCCAUACUACCGCCCACUAAUUUUGAUGGUUUUAUGACCCAUUAUUACUUGAUAUAUGCACAUGGCAUAUUAUUUUAUGUAUCUCAUUAUUUUCUUUUGUUGAAUUUGGUCUU
rnacentral:lncRNA from 1 species